CAAGGAAUCUUGGACAAUGGGCGAAAGCCUGAUCCAGCCACGCCGCGUGAGUGAUGAAGGUCUUCGGACUGUAAACUCUUUUCUGAGAGAAGAACAGGCGGAGCAGGAAAUGGUUCCGUUUUGACGGUAUCUCAGGAAUAAGCAACGGCUAACUCCGUGCCAGCAGCCGCGGUAAUACGGAGGUUGCGAGCGUUGUUCGGAAUGACUGGGCGUAAAGGGAGCGCAGCCGGUUCGAUUAGUCUGGAGUGAAAGCCCGGGGCUCAACCCCGGAGGGUCUCCGGAUACUGUCGAACUCGAGUACGGAAGAGGAGAGUGGAAUUCCAGGUGUAGCGGUGAAAUGCGUAGAUAUCUGGAGGAACACCGGUGGCGAAAGCGGCUCUCUGGUCCGAUACUGACGGUCAGGCUCGAAAGCGUGGGGAGCAAACGG
rnacentral:rRNA from 1 species